rnacentral:rRNA from 1 species
GACGUAGGGCGCGAGCGUUGUCCGGAUUUAUUGGGCGUAAAGAGCUCGUAGGCGGCUUGUCGCGUCGUUUUGUGAAAACCCACAGCUCAACUGUGGGCUUGCAUGCGAUACGGGCAGGGCUAGAGUUCGGUAGGGGAGACUGGAAUUCCUGGUGUAGCGGUGAAAUGCGGCAGACUAUCAGGAGGAACACCGGUGGCGAAGGCGGGUCUCUGGGGCCGAUACUGACGCUGAGGAGCGAAAGCCGUGGGGAGCGAACAGG